rnacentral:lncRNA from 1 species
UAUGCCCUCUGUAAUUUAUUUGGUUUCUCGAUUAAUCGAUGUGUAUGCUUUCUAUUCUCUGUACUGCUCUAGAUUUCUUUGUUAAUAUGUAUGGAUUUGUGCCUGUGAAUUUGAUCCACCAUCGUCGACGUUCUAGUGCAAUCCAGGCCUGUGUUUUUGUGUUCAUGGCAUUUUUUUUGUUGAUUUUAAUGAAGAAUUAUUUCUGUGCAAUCCAGGCCCGUGGCCUGCUUUUUUUUUAAAUUCUAAAAUUCGUACCAAUGGCGGUCAUAUCUACCCGCCAGCACUAGCGGUAAGCACCAGUGGCGGGUUACAGCACUGCCACUGGUGCAAAUAUCACCAAUGACGCGUGGUU